rnacentral:rRNA from 1 species
GGAUUAGAUACCCUGGUAGUCCACGCUGUAAACGAUGAUCACUAGAUGUCAGCUUCCCUUGAGGAGGUUGGUAUCGUAGCUAACGCGAUAAGUGAUCCGCCUGGGGAGUACGGUCGCAAGACUAAAACUCAAAGAAAUUGACGGGGGUCCGCACAAGCGGUGGAACAUGUGGUUUAAUUCGACACUACGCGAGGAACCUUACCUGGGCUCGACAUACAUUUGAUCGGGGCAGAGAUGUCUCUUUCUCGGGUAACCGAGACAAAUGAACAGGUGCUGCAUGGCUGUCGUCAGCUCGUGUCG